rnacentral:rRNA from 1 species
UACAGAGACUGCAAGCGUUAUUCGGAUUCACUGGGCGUAAAGGGUGCGCAGGCGGUUGGGUGUGUCAGAUGUGAAAUCCCGAGGCUUAACCUCGGAACUGCGUCUGAAACUACUCGACUAGAGUACUGGAGAGGGGAAACGGAAUUCACGGUGUAGCAGUGAAAUGCGUAGAUAUCGUGAGGAACACCAGAGGCGAAGGCGGUUUCCUGGACAGUUACUGACGCUCAGGCACGAAAGCAUGGGGAGCAAAAGGG